GUGCUCGCUUGGGCAGCGCAUAUACUAAAAUUCGAGCCAUACAGAGAGAACUGGCAUGGCCCCUGUGCAAGGAUGAUAUGAAAAUUCGUAUCAUUAUAUACUAGUAUUU
rnacentral:snRNA from 1 species